UACGGAGGGUGCAAGCGUUAAUCGGAAUUACUGGGCGUAAAGCGCACGCAGGCGGUCUGUCAAGUCGGAUGUGAAAUCCCCGGGCUCAACCUGGGAACUGCAUUCGAAACUGGCAGGCUAGAGUCUUGCAGAGGGGGGUAGAAUUCCAGGUGUAGCGGUGAAAUGCGUAGAGAUCUGGAGGAAUACCGGUGGCGAAGGCGGCCCCCUGGACAAAGACUGACGCUCAGGUGCGAAAGCGUGGGGAGCAAACAGGAUUAGAUACCCUGGUAGUCCACGCCGUAAACGAUGUCGAUGUGGAGGUUGUGCCCUUGAGGAGUGGCUUCCGGAGCUAACGCGUUAAAUCGACCGCCUGGGGAGUACGGCCGCAAGGUUAAA
rnacentral:rRNA from 1 species